UACGGGGGGGGCAAGCGUUGUUCGGAAUUACUGGGCGUAAAGGGCGCGUAGGCGGCCCGCUAAGUCGAACGUGAAAUCCCCAGGCUCAACCUGGGAACUGCGUCCGAUACUGGCAGGCUUGAAUCCGGGAGAGGGAUGUGGAAUUCCAGGUGUAGCGGUGAAAUGCGUAGAUAUCGGAAGGAACACCAGUGGCGAAAGCGGCUUCCUGGUCCAGCACCGACGUUCAGGCACGAAAGCGUGGGGAGCAAACAGG
rnacentral:rRNA from 1 species